UACGUAGGUGGCAAGCGUUGUCCGGAAUUAUUGGGCGUAAAGCGCGCGCAGGCGGUCCUUUAAGUCUGAUGUGAAAGCCCACGGCUCAACCGUGGAGGGUCAUUGGAAACUGGGGGACUUGAGUGCAGAAGAGGCAACUGGAAUUCUCGGUGUAGCGGUGAAAUGCGUAGAUAUCGAGAGGAACACCUGCGGCGAAGGCGGGUUGCUGGGCUGACACUGACGCUGAUGCGCGAAAGCCAGGGGAGCGAACGGG
rnacentral:rRNA from 1 species